rnacentral:rRNA from 1 species
GAACCGUACAAACGUUAUUCGGAAUCACUGGGCUUAAAGGGUGCGUAGGCGGCUCAGUAAGUUGGGUGUGAAAUCCCCCGGCUCAACCGGGGAACUGCGCUCAAAACUGCUGAGCUAGAGGAAGAUAGAGGCAAGCGGAACUGAUGGUGGAGCGGUGGAAUGCGUUGAUAUCAUCAGGAACACCAGUUGCGAAGGCGGCUUGCUGGGUCUUUUCUGACGCUGAGGCACGAAAGCUAGGGGUAGCGAACGGGAUUAGAUACCCCGGUAGUCCUAGCUGUAAACGAUGAGCACUUGGUCGAGGGCUACUUCAUAGGCUCUCGGCCGUAGCGAAAGUGUUAAGUGCUCCGCCUGGGAGUAUGGUCGCAAGGCUG